rnacentral:tRNA from 1 species
UUCUUGGUGGCUCAGAUGGCAAAGCUUCUGCCUGCAAAGCAGAAGACCCGUGUUCAAUCCCUGGGUUGGAAA